UGAUAUUGCAUCGUUUCAUUCUUCAUUUCCGCCUCUCCCUCUCUGCCGCACCCCGCAGCUACUUGUUUUGCUAGCAACCCACAGGCCACAGCCAGCUAGCAACCCACAACCCUACCCACAACCCCGCAGCCCCACAGCCUCACAACACCGCAACCCAGCAACCCCGCAGCCCCGCAACACCACAACCCAGCAACCCCGCAGCCAGCAACCUCGCAACCCCGCAGCCUCGCAACCACAGCCCCGCAACCCCGCAACCCGCAGCCGCACCCACAGCCCCGCCGUACUCCACAGCAAGCCGCAGUCCACAGCCGCAACCCACAGCAACGUCUGCCUCCACCGCCGCCCACAGACUCAACCCACAGGCCACAGCCUCUGUUUUCUGCCAUUAACAACCGGUCCACCGCCGGGGCCAAAACCAGUCCAAUUUGACUGGUUUCUCUAAUCCUUCGUGAUUUCUGGAACCACUCGAUGUUUCCGAAUCAUCUACAAUUGAAGAAAUUGAUCUUCCGGACAUUUGAAGGCUGUUUUUUGGAAUAUGUGAUGCUGUUUCUUGUGAUUUGUAAAGCUGGACUUGUGAAGCUGUACUUUUUCUUGUGAUUUCUGAAGGGGUUGUACUUUUUCUUGUGAUUUCUGAAGUUGGACAAUUUUUAAGCUAUGUAGCAGUGUUUUUCAUGGUUAUUUGGCUGUAGUUUGUGCGUUUAUUUGGCUGGCCAUAACCUGUUAUGGUAUAUUGGCUCUAAUGAAUGUUGUCUUGAAUGGAAUUAGACUGUAGUUUGUGUAUUUGUUUUGUUUUAUUCCUAAAGUUUGUGUUGGAUGGAUGUUAUGGUCAUAUUUGUCUUGGAUGAAAUGUGGUUAGAGUUUGUGUAUUGUUGAAUGUGAAUGCCAUUGGUUGCCAA